rnacentral:lncRNA from 1 species
UCCCUCUUUGUCCAAAAGUUGGACAUGACUUUCUCUCUCUUUCUUUUGCCCAAGAGUUGGACAUGAUUUUUUCUCUAUAGAAGUCUAAGAGUUGGACAUGUCUUCGCCUCCAUAGAUGUCUAAGAGUUGGACAUGAUUUUUCCUUCAUGAUCAGAUGAAGAGUUAGAUGGGAAAAGAAAAGAAAAGAGAUGGGAUCUCUUAUUCUUCUUUUCUUUAGAUCUUCUUUUUUCUCUUGAAAAGAGAAAGGAAAAAAAAAUCAGAUUAGAUCUGAUUUUUUAAUCCUCCUAUGGAUCUCUUUGAUUCUCUUGAGAAGA